rnacentral:misc_RNA from 1 species
GAUGAAGAACGCAGCGAAAUGCGAUAAGUAAUGUGAAUUGCAGAAUUCAGUGAAUCAUCGAAUCUUUGAACGCACAUUGCGCCCCCCAGUAUUCUGGCGGGCAUGCCUGUUCGAGCGUCAUUUCAACCAUCAAGCCCUGCUUGUGUUGGGGUCCUGCGGCUGCCCGCAGGCCCUGAAAACCAGUGGCGGGCUCGCUAGUCACACCCAGCGCAGUAGCACAUCUCGCUCAGGGCGUGCGGCGGGCUCCAGCCGUUAAAGCACCCACCUUUCGCAAGGUUGACCUCGGAUCAGGUAGGAAUACCCGCUGAACUUAAGCAUAUCAAUAAGCGGAGGA